rnacentral:piRNA from 1 species
UUUUGCGCGAGACUUUAAAAA